AACACUUAUGUAGUGGAUAAUGGAUGUAAACUCAAGUAGUAUGCUACAAAAACACUGAAAUGUUCACGUUAAACAUCCAAAAUACUUGCUAAACCACGAGUUUAUCAACUCCCCCAAACUUAAACACUUAUUUGUCCUCAAAUAAAAAGUAGAAAACAUAAAAUGUGAACUCGUGUAAGCAUGUUGGAUUGUCAUCACUGCCUCAGUAAAAGAAAACAGAAUCAUCAUGUAUCAAUAACUUCGCAAACUAGUACACCAAAAUGAACAUUGCUUCAAGCUACUAGCAUGUAUUCCACUUUGUCAAUUUGCCCUCACCGGAAGUAUAUAGUGUGAUAAAAAAUUUUCUUCUUUCUCUCACUCUCAAAGUGUAUGUGUAUAAAAUGGACCUCUCAAAUCAAUAAAAAAUGUAUAGCUUACCAUAAGCUUGCUCGAAGUCUAGACUCUCCUCUACUGUGUUGUGACUACAGAUUUAGGAUCCGAAAGGUCUUUACUAGAGGUUGUAAUGUAAGGCUCUUUGGUAAGGUGAGGAAAUAUUUGGCUAAAAAGUGACUAAACCCAAUAAUAGCAAAAAUGAUCAAUUUCACUACAUCAAACUUAGUACCCCACCAACCAUUCGAAUCUCAGUAAAUUCUAGACUUUGUCAAGAUUUCUUCUCACUUCCCAAUUCCUUUAAUUUUUUUUCUUUUCAAGAUCUUUUUUUUUUGGUACAUCCUUUCCCUUUUUUUUAUGCACAACCAAUUCUUUCAUUCAAACAAAGAUGUCUAUGCACUUUUCACAAGUAAACGCGCUACUUUUCUUUCUACCUUAUCUCUCCAACUCUUUUCACAAAAUAUAAACUAAAAUUCACCAAGAGUGUAUGAAUAUUCCCUUUUAUUUAGCUUCCAAAGAAAAAAGCUUUAAAGGCUCAAAAUGGCUAGCUAGGGAAAAAUAUUAUGAAUAAGGUCAUAAAUUUGGAUAUCAAAAGUAGCUAAGAAGGAUGGCCUAACGUCCUCUCCUAUUCCUAUAAUCACUAUGUAGACUCAAGAAGUAGACUUUGAUUUUUAUAGUUUCAUUGGUGUCUCGUCGACGGUGCAAAAUCUAACAUGUUUGUGCGGAGACCAAUCAACUGAGCAUCUAUUCUCAAGAUUCACCACCCGAUGCAGAUUCCCCAAAAUCAGUUCACGACUUCACCCUUAAGAGAAUGUUUCAUGGGUGGCUAAUGCAAGAGAAUGAACUGGGAACUUGUCUUUCAUGUGAAAUGGCAUUCCAUUCACCAUGUUUGUGUUGGGCUUGGUUUGCUUUUACUUCCAACAACAUGAAAAGCUAUGUUUCUCUCUCUCAUUAGUUUCCUUCUUUUGGUAUAGUGUUUAUUUGAAUCUCCCCUAAUAUGUAACAUUCGAAGUUAGUUCAACAUUUAUGGUACAAGAUAACCAAGUCCAUUGGUAUUCUUUGCAGCCCAAUGCUGGAUAAUGCCAUCAAACAUAUUUUUAAGUUAUAGAACACUUACUUAUAAUAAGCGUUUCUGUUUACUUAAAAUAUUGAAGUGCAUUGUCAAACAGUAGAAAUGGGAUGAGAUAUUCAUCUAUCUCCAUCGCUUGUAUUUAUAAUGCAUCUAUUUGUACCUUUUUACUUUA